ensembl:snoRNA
GGCCUCACUGCCAUGAAGCUGGGGGGGAAGGGCCUAUCCCCCUCGGCAGGUCUAAAGGCCAAGAUCAAGCCUGGGAGGGUCAUCGUGGGGGUUGCCGCCAGUUGGGCAGCCUCGUUUUCCGACCUCGGACAUGU